rnacentral:rRNA from 1 species
GACGAACGCUGGCGGCGUGCUUAACACAUGCAAGUCGAACGAAGAGCGAUGGAAGCUUGCUUCUAUCAAUCUUAGUGGCGAACGGGUGAGUAACGCGUAAUCAACCUGCUCUUCAGAGGGGGACAACAGUUGGAAACGACUGCUAAUACCGCAUACGAUCUAAUCUCGGCAUCGAGGAUAGAUGAAAGGUGGCCUCUACAUGUAAGCUAUCACUGAAGGAGGGGAUUGCGUCUGAUUAGCUAGUUGGAGGGGUAACGGCCCACCAAGGCGAUGAUCAGUAGCCGGUCUGAGAGGAUGAACGGCCACAUUGGGACUGAGACACGGCCCAGACUCCUACGGGAGGCAGCAGUGGGGAAUCUUCCGCAAUGGACGAAAGUCUGACGGAGCAACGCCGCGUGAGUGAUGACGGCCUUCGGGUUGUAAAGCUCUGUUAAUCGGGACGAAAGGCCUUCUUUGCGAAUAGUGAGAAAGGAU